AGACUUUGAUUAUGGCUCAGGAUGAACGCUAGCGACAGGCUUAACACAUGCAAGUCGAGGGGCAUCAUGAGGUAGCAAUACCUUGAUGGCGACCGGCGCACGGGUGAGUAACGCGUAUGCAACCUGCCCGAUACCGGGGUAUAGCCCAUGGAAACGUGGAUUAACACCCCAUAGUACUUUUAUCCUGCAUGGGAUGUGAGUUAAAUGUUCAAGGUAUCGGAUGGGCGUGCGUCCUAUUAGUUAGUUGGCGGGGUAACAGCCCACCAAGACGAUGAUAGGUAGGGGUUCUGAGAGGAAGGUCCCCCACAUUGGAACUGAGACACGGUCCAAACUCCUACGGGAGGCAGCAGUGAGGAAUAUUGGUCAAUGGACGUAAGUCUGAACCAGCCAAGUCGCGUGAGGGAAGACUGCCCUAUGGGUUGUAAACCUCUUUUAUAAGGGAAGAAUAAGUUCUACGUGUAGAAUGAUGCCUGUACCUUAUGAAUAAGCAUCGGCUAACUCCGUGCCAGCAGCCGCGGUAAUACGGAAGAUGCGAGCGUUAUCCGGAUUUAUUGGGUUUAAAGGGUGCGUAGGCGGUUUAUUAAGUUAGUGGUUAAAUAUUUGAGCUAAACUCAAUUGUGCCAUUAAUACUGGUAAACUGGAGUACAGACGAGGUAGGCGGAAUAAGUUAAGUAGCGGUGAAAUGCAUAGAUAUAACUUAGAACUCCGAUAGCGNANNCAGCUUACCAGACUGUAACUGACGCUGA
rnacentral:rRNA from 1 species